rnacentral:rRNA from 1 species
AAGACCGAAGCUGGGGAGCGGACGGAUGAUACCGUAUCAGCAGUAAUCAGCGUUAGUUGCUUAACUACGAGUACGGGUGCGAGUGAAACGGAACGUGCGCCUGGGAGUACGUCGUAGGCUGAAACUAAAGGAUGGCGGGGGAGCACCACAACGGGUGGAGCCUGCGGUUUAAUUGGACUCAACGCCGGGCAGCUCACCGGAUAGGACAGCGGAAUGAUAGCCGGGCUGAAGACCUUGCUUGACCAGCUGAGAGGAGGUGCAUGGCCGUCGUCAGUUCGUACUGUGAAGCAUCCUGUUUAGUCAGGCAACGAGCGAGACCCACGCCAACAGUUGGUAGCAUGUUCUCCCGGAAUGAUGAGGACAAAAGAUAGGACCGCCUCUGCUAAAGAGGAGGAAGGAAAAGUUUUUCGUUUUAGUCAGCAUGCCCCGAAUUAUCCGGGCUACACGCGGGCUACAAUGGUCAGGACAAUGGGAAACGGAAAAAGAAAAGUGUAGUCAAUCUCCUAAACCUGUCCCAAGUUCGGAUUGUGGGCUGCAACUCGCCCACAUGAAGCUGGAAUCCGUAGUAAUCGCGUUUCAAAAUAGCGCGGUGAAUAAGUCCCUGCUCCUUGCACACACCGUA